rnacentral:miRNA from 1 species
UACCUCGUCGACCGGAAGGAAUUCCUUCCGGUUGAUGAGGAAGAUUUACCUCAUCGACUGGAAGGAAUCCCUUCCGGUCGAUGAGGAA